rnacentral:rRNA from 1 species
AACGAACGCUGGCGGCGUGGAUAAGACAUGCAAGUCGAACGGGAUUAAAUCUGUAGCAAUACAGGUUUAGUUUAGUGGCGAACGGGUGCGUAACACGUGGGCAAUCUGCCGAGAAGUGGGGGAUAGCUCGCCGAAAGGCGAAUUAAUACCGCAUAUGAUCAGUGAAGACAUUCUUCACGACAUCAAAGCCGGGGCAACCUGGCGCUUCUUGAUGAGCCCGCGGCCUAUCAGCUAGUUGGUGAGGUAACGGCUCACCAAGGCUAUGACGGGUAGCUGGUCUGAGAGGACGACCAGUCACACUGGAACUGAGACACGGUUCAGACACCUACGGGUGGCAGCAGUCGAGAAUUUUUC